GAACCACCAUAUUGUUCAUGCUUUCCGGGUAGAAGUCGAUUAGAUACAAAAGAUCCCAAAAUUUGUUUGAAAAUGAAUGGGUUUUGAAAUGCAAAGACGCAAUACAGUGAAGAUAGUCCUCAGAAUAGUACUUUUAUGAUAUAAUUGAGACUUUCCAACAAGGGAAUGAUACCUCAAUCGUAUCUAAGAUUCUCUGAGGAUGCUAGAGCAAUAUCUCUAACAAAGCCAAUGAG
rnacentral:lncRNA from 1 species